AGCCACUUGACGAGUUCCAAAUAGGACGAAACGCGCGUCCUGGAU
rnacentral:hammerhead_ribozyme from 1 species